rnacentral:rRNA from 1 species
AUUGAACGCUGGCGGCAUGCCUUACACAUGCAAGUCGAACGGCAGCACGGGAGCUUGCUCCUGGUGGCGAGUGGCGAACGGGUGAGUAAUACAUCGGAACGUACCCUGAAGUGGGGGAUAACGUAGCGAAAGUUACGCUAAUACCGCAUAUUCUGUGAGCAGGAAAGAGGGGGAUCGCAAGACCUCUUGCUUUAGGAGCGGCCGAUGUCGGAUUAGCUAGUUGGUGAGGUAAAGGCUCACCAAGGCGACGAUCCGUAGCGGGUCUGAGAGGAUGAUCCGCCACACUGGGACUGAGACACGGCCCAGACUCCUACGGGAGGCAGCAGUGGGGAAUUUUGGACAAUGGGCGCAAGCCUGAUCCAGCCAUGCCGCGUGAGUGAAGAAGGCCUUCGGGUUGUUAAAAGGCUCUUUCGGUCAGGAACGAAACGGUGGUCCGUAAUACGGAUUGCUAAUGACGGUACCUGAAGAAGAAGCACCGGCUAACUACGUGCCAGCAGCCGCGGU